UGGCGACCGGCGCACGGGUGAGUAACACGUAUCCAACCUGCCGAUGACUCGGGGAUAGCCUUUCGAAAGAAAGAUUAAUACCCGAUGGCAUAGUUCUUCCGCAUGGUAGAACUAUUAAAGAAUUUCGGUCAUCGAUGGGGAUGCGUUCCAUUAGGUUGUUGGCGGGGUAACGGCCCACCAAGCCUUCGAUGGAUAGGGGUUCUGAGAGGAAGGUCCCCCACCAUUGGAACUGAGACACGGUCCAAACUCCUACGGGAGGCAGCAUG
rnacentral:rRNA from 1 species